ensembl:snRNA U6 U6 spliceosomal RNA
GUGCUUACUUCAGCAGCACACAUACUAAAAUUGGAACCAUAAGAGAAGAUUAGCAUGACCCCUGUGCAAGGAUGACACACAAAUUCAUGAAGCAUUCCAUAUUAAA